rfam:Brassica napus, WGS project CCCW01000000 data, contig: 19780
AGAAUAUAAGAACCAAUCUCUUAACUUUUAACUAAAAAAAGUAAGAACCGGUUUUUAAAUAUUAUUUAAUAUAAGAGAUAUUAUUUAAGAACCGGUUCUUACCUGUUUUAGUUAAAAGUUAAGAGACGGAUUCUUAUAUUCC